rnacentral:rRNA from 1 species
UACGUAGGGGGCGAGCGUUAUCCGGAAUUAUUGGGCGUAAAGGGAGCGCAGGCGGUUCUUUAAGUCAGAUGUGAAAGCCCGCGGCUUAACUGUGGAAUUGCAUUUGAAACUGGCGAGCUUGAGUUUAGUAGAGGAAGGCGGAAUUCCAUGUGUAGCGGUGAAAUGCGUAGAGAUAUGGAGGAACACCGGUGGCGAAGGCGGCUUACUGGACUAAAACUGACGCUGAGGCUCGAAAGCGUGGGGAGCAAACAGG